CUGCCGACCCGGGAGCAGCUAGCGGAGCUCAUCAUAGAGCUGUGGGGCCAGAUUCCGGAAAGUUUUGGUAAGUGGGCAGCCUGUGACCCCUGCGAAUUCCCCAAAUGCGGCAAUUUUCGGCUGCAUAAUUUCUGGUAGCGGGGGGCUGUGUUCGUGCUCUCCCCUA
ensembl:snRNA U1 U1 spliceosomal RNA